GUUGACCUUUUAGCAAUUUACCUCUCCACCCUCUCCUUCAAUAUUCAUCACCUCCUUCCCUAGCCACUCUUAUAAGCGAGAUCUACAUGUGCCUAUGCGUUUUUCUCUCUCUUCUUUUUAUAGAAAAACCUUUUUCCUCGAUUGAAAGAAAGAAAGAAAGACAAGCUACGAAAAGAUUUUUGGCUUCCAUUGCAGACCAGGGAUUCGAUCCAAAGAUAUGCUUCUCCUUUUUUUCCAAAAGGGGUGUUUCAUGUUUGUUUAGUGUUUCUUAUUAUUAUUAUUUCCCACUCACAACAAUUUCAUUCAUCAUCAUCAUGGCUUCUUCAUAACAACCUUCACCACAAAGGUUAUAUUAAGGCCCUCUCAUAACCUUUGUUUUUUUUUCUUCUCUUUUUAAUUCCCCUCACCACUACUUUUUUUUUCCCUCUUUGUUCCACACUUUUGCUUAAUUUGCAAGCUAUGGAUUCUGGCAAUAGUGGAAGUAUCUCUUCAAGUGGUGAUGAAGAAUACGAUUCAC
rnacentral:lncRNA from 1 species